GGCCCAGUAGCUCCGCUGGUUAGAGCGUUGUCCUGAUAUGCCAAGGUUGUGGGUUCGAUCCCCAGCUAGGGCA
rnacentral:tRNA from 1 species